CUAGCAAUAACGGCCUUGGGGCACGCGCGUAGUUAGAGGUCCGCGGCGCGGUCCAAGCAGGGAGGGAGGAAGAGCUGAAGCUAGGGUUCUGUGAAUACCAGGUACGCGCACGCACGCCUGAGAUUUUAGUGGGUGACAUUGGAGGUGGGCGUUUCUCCGUGUGGGUUAGUGCGAACUUUUGUGCAUACGCAUCCUGUUUACGAAUCCUUACCCAAAAUCGGCUUCCAGAAACAUGUUUUAAAUCCGAUUCCGACAGUGCUGGCUGAAAUCCUUGUACAUGGAUCUUUUUAGGCUAUGAGCAACAGUGAUUUAUGCUGUAGUUACCAUCACUACCUGUCUACCUGCUGUCUUUUUGCAAAUUAAGGUAAUAUGUAAGGAUACAUAAUGCAAAAGGGGUACAAGCAAAUCAUGAAGUAUCAGUUGAACAUUAGUAUCUACAUGCUGCAGCAUCUGUAGGUAGCUGCUGUUCCACCAAUUUGUUUGAUUCACCGUGCAAGUUUGAUAAUGCCUGCUUGAUUUUAAGGAUCUCAGUGCAGACUUGUCCCAUUCCAGGUCGCUCUCUGGGUGAUAUCAUGGAGCAACAGAGUCCUAUUCUCACCAAUGGAGUGAUACAGGUCUUCAUGGUUUCAGUUGCAUCGACUUCGUGUUGUAGCAUCACCGGAUCGAC
rnacentral:lncRNA from 1 species